GAUGAACGCUGGCGGCGUGCCUAAUACAUGCAAGUCGAGCGAACAGACGAGGAGCUUGCUCCUCUGACGUUAGCGGCGGACGGGUGAGUAACACGUGUAUAACCUACCUAUAAGACUGGGAUAACUUCGGGAAACCGGAGCUAAUACCGGAUAAUAUAUUGAACCGCAUGGUUCAAUAGUGAAAGACGGUUUUGCUGUCACUUAUAGAUGGAACCGCGCCGCAUUAGCUAGUUGGUAAGGUAACGGCCUACCAAGGCAACGAUGCGUAGCCGACCUGAGAGGGUGAUCGGCCACACUGGAACUGAGACACGGUCCAGACUCCUACGGGAGGCAGCAGUAGGGAAUCUUCCGCAAUGGGCGAAAGCCUGACGGAGCAACGCCGCGUGAGUGAUGAAGGUCUUCGGAUCGUAAAACUCUGUUAUUAGGGAAGAACAAAUGUGUAAGUAACUCUGCACGUCUUGACGGUACCUAAUCAGAAAGCCACGGCUAACUACGUG
rnacentral:rRNA from 1 species